GGAUGCUGCGACGCAGGUGGUCCAGCAGCUCGUCUCCCUCAGGCUUCGUCCGCCCCGUAGCCACCCUCAGGGGAGAUUCCAGGCUCCUGUGUCCCCAGGGAAUGAAGGGGCUGAGCAAGGUGCCAAGUGAAGACGCUGAGCGCUGAGUUUCUACCCAACAUCAGGCUCCAGUGACUGCUAGCGAAAAGCUUGUUAAAAGGCCGGUCUACCCUCACCGCGCCCGUACGUACCGCUCUCCUCCAAGAACCUCAAGGCGUCUAAGUACCCACGAAGGCAGAUCUCGCCAAGCACCUGGCAACAAACCAAAUACGGUAACUGCAGUGUUGAGACCAAGAGCAGAGCCCUCCCCGCUGGCAGCUGCUCCCAUGGCCCAGCACGGCCACGGCAAGGCUGGACGACAGGACUCCGGGCUCCUAAGAGACAGAAGUCCACUUCCACAUGGGACUAGGUUCGAACGACACCCCCUCCGUGAAGACUUUGCUGGCAGCGCAGCAUGACAGGCGCUGAUUUCCCUAGGCUCCCUUGGUCCCUGCACGAGCCUCCACCCUCACAAAUAUGGAGGCUUGUGCUAGUUGUCACGGGACAAUUAACAGCGGCCUCCUCCACUCGUCUGGACACAAACCACACAUGCAAACCAAUGCACAGCCUCCCCUCUCUCCUGGAGUACAUGCUGUUGGGGUACAGCUUACACACUGCCUUCCUUCUCCCUGGAGAACCAUUAGGAUACAUGGUUCACACCUUUUCUUUUUAUUAGGGAGAUAAGACCUCCUACAACAACAAUCAAGAAAGAUUAAACCACCAAAUGCAGUGUGGUUCUUGACCACACUUGCAAAUACGAAUCCUCAGGAUACCUCCAAAAAAAAAAAAAAAAUCGCACGGCCUAGGCCGCACCCCAACUACUUAAAUCAUAGCCCGGGGAUGUGGAAUCUGAGCUGCCGGGCUGUUUAAAUCUUCCCAGGUGAUUCCAAUGGGCAGAGUGGGGCAGCCCUGAGCUGCCGGGACCAGAAACUCUGAGUUCCUAUUCGAUGAGGGGGAUCUGUUUCUGUUUGUGGAAAGGACAAUUGGGAGCUAUCCUGGCAAACAAGGAAGCAAAGAAGAGCUGCACCCCCAGAACACACAGCCCCCAACUCACCUUGAGAUCCGGAGGGAACAGUGCUUGCAUUAGCAGGUAGACAUUCUUGGAGCAGAGGCGCAAACUGAGCUUGGUUAGGUCCACGUGAAGAAAGUUCGUCGACGUGACUUUAGGGCAGAUGUCAUACUCCCCGUAGAAGGGGGACACAGUGAUGGUUGUUUUGGCAUCAAAGAAGGGGACAUUGUCACUUACUCCUCCAUCCACGUAUCGCUUUUACGGGGAGGAAGAAAGGACAUACUGUCAGAAGCUCUGGGUGAGUGUCUUCUGUGCUUUUUCCGAUUAUGGGUAGAGCCUUCUCAGAGCCGCAGGCUGAUAUUGUGGGAAGACAAGGUUCCAGAACUACUCUUUCAACAAAGCUUUCCUGAGCAUUUCUAUGCCAGGCCAGGCUCUGGGCUGGCACUCAAGUGUGCUAUAUACUGUUGUGUAGUUUG